rnacentral:piRNA from 2 species
UGCUGAUGUAUGGCCUCAAGCACGC